rnacentral:rRNA from 1 species
GGCUUGGUACUGCGGA